AGCAUUAUUUUUCAUUGAACAAAUACUCUAAGUUGGUCCUGUGCAGCUAACUUUUCAGUAAUAAAGCUGAUUUUAACUGUGCAUGAGCGCUACCAUCUCCUCACACGGUCCAUAAAAAAGUGAAAAUAAAUAGCUUUUACAUUACUGGACUUUAACAAUUUAAGCACCAAUGUAAACUGCAGACACACACACACACAGCAAGUUGUGUGGAAAUUAGUGUUUGACAGCGGUGGAGUUUAUUAUGUCUGUGUGUAAUUGUGUGCUGUGUCACCACAACCAGCAGCAGCAGCAGCAGCUCGUGGGAGUGAUAGUUUGGAAAAAGUGCGAUGACCAGGAACAUCAGCGGGAUGUGAGCUGGGUGAAGCAGGCGUGUGCUCGCUGACCAUCUCCGGACAUUUAAAAGUUGUUUCGUUUUCAUUUUUUUCUCCACCGCUUGCAUUUCAGCCGAGUUAUUAAGGAUGUAAUACAGCUUGUUCCACAGUUUUUAAAUCAAAGACACAUUGUGUCUCUGCAGUAAAUUAACCACAUUUCCACUUGGCGUGGUGGUGUAGUAGUGGAUUUGUGCAACGCAUGAGUUAACUUAAAUUACUUAUUCCUUCCUUCGUUGGAAGAAGAUGUGGGUUAACUACCAAUAUCCUCCCCUCUUUUGUUUUCAUUGCUCAGCCAUUGUAGACGUUGUCCACGGUUUUGGCAGGCGAGCGCUGCGAGUCCUGGACUCUGACACUGUGUGGAUCACAUUUAACUAUUAAAAAGAGCUGUUUUGCUUGGAGAGCAAUCGCGGCCAGAGGCUCGGCUGGUGGUGUUUUUAGGCCACAUGUUCCAGUUCACGAGCCACUGAACGGGGGCGCGUGCUUCCUCCCCGGUUUACACUCCAGUGACAUGACCCGGAGAGGCCAAACACUUGCCGUGUGAGACACAAAGCAGCUUGUCCCACCUGCGCUGAGCUGCUCUGAUUAGAUAGGAGCUGCAGAGGGUUAAGCCCCUCUGAGCUUUUUUUAAAUAUAUCUUUCCAUGUAGUGCUGAAUAAGAAGCCUCUUUUUUUUAAAUAAAAAAGGGGGGUCAGCAACAGCGACAGGAUGUCUUUGCUGUGUUUCUUUUCCACAAGUAUGAAGUCUAUUGCUGCAUUUCCAGGUCACUGAGAGCUAUUUUUAGCCUCUUUUCUUUCACAGAGGAAAGGAAUCACACAGCACAGCGCUUCAGAUAGAGGCACGAACGAAAGAAAGGUUCAUUCCAAAAACAGAGUUUGUUUGAGCUGUGGUUCUUUUGGCGCCAGAUAUGUGGCUGCCGGGAACACCUUGCCUUCACACACACACAUGCAAAUGCGCACACACACACACCUGAGGUCUGCAGGGCUGGAGGAGCGCCAGCCAAUCAGCAGCAGGCUUGUUUUGAAGAAGACCCCACCCCAUCUCUAGUAAUGUCCAAUUUCAGGAGUAAGUAAGCCCGGUCUCGCUCGAAAGAUUUAGUUUGGCUGAGGCUCGGCGCUGUUUUUCUUCUCCUCUGGCUCAGGAGGUUAAAUAGUGUCAGAGUCAGUCGCACUGAGCACCAAGUUUGUCUGGGCCAAGAGUGAGACUACUCCCAGAAAAGGCAACACUUUUCCUUUAUAGGUUUCUCGAGGAAAUUUCAUUGUGUGCACUGGGAGCUUUACAGAGUAUUUAUUGAUUCUGUUUAUCCGGGAUUUGUACAAUUUGUUUUCGACUAAAAGGCGUAAAAACACCUCAGUGGUUAUCCCGCUUUAGCUGCUGACACUGUGUUUUUGUCUGCCGAGGAGAAAUCCCUCCAUCUGGUCAUGGGUCUGAUUAAAGGCGAUCAUUAUGGCAUCAGUACGCCUCCCUCAUAGACUUAAAACCCCUGCCCAACCCUGAGGGUAAAAAGAGAAAAUAAAGCAUCCUUCAUUACCCUGCCCUCCCUCCCUUCUGCAGCCCCUCACCCCCCUUGAGCACUAUCCCUUUCCUGUGCUGUUUUGAUGUGUAAAUGAGCGCAUUGAAAACCUGCAGGCCCCCAAAGAGAUGCUUUCCAUGAAAAUGCGGCAGUCAGAGAGCACCAAAGUUCACACAGCUCACCAGUCCUCGCAACCGGACUCCAAUCAGACGCCCAGUACACGCACAAAAACCACACAACGCGACCGCGCGCGCAUGCUGAUAUCACGGCCCGCGCGGCGACCUCUGAGGCGAGUUUGAUGGUGACUUUUUGUCUAAAAUGAGGAUUUCAGUGUCAAGUAGCAGAGGAAGAGACAGAAAGCAGGCAGACUAAGAGAUGAAAAGCCGUUUUGCAGAGGGUUUCUCAUUGUUUAAGAACCUCAAAUGUAGCACAGAGGGAAUGCUUAAAGGUGUUUUCACCAUUCAGAACUACUGUGUCAUACAUACAUCUGUUGGUUUGUAUGCAGGUACUGAAAGUCCAUCUCCAGUUACCUCUCUGUGCUGUUUGAGAGAUAUUUUUAAGGAUAAAGUCCAGCUGUUGCUCGUCCAAGUUCACAUCAAUAUUUUCAGUGCUGCUGUCUGGAAAAAAAAGCUCCAUCUGCCUCACUUCAAUAAAGAACAGAAAGUCUAUUUGUAUUUAAAAUAUUAUCAAUUACCUAGAAGGUUUGGUCAGUUUUAACAAGUCAGAUAUUAAAUAUCCAUAUCACACUGACCUGAUAUUUAUUACUCUGUGGAUCGCAGUCUCAGCUGUAACUGUGCUUGAUGUGAGCUCAAGGACACGUACCUUCAGUCUUCAUCCUUUCAUCUUCAUCUAACGAGGGUAGAGACACGAACAGGAGGAAGUGUUCCUUUCAAUUAAAAUCAGAAUGAACUAUGAAUUAAACAUCGUCCAAAAGGGACUCAAAUCAACAUUUAAAACUUCAAUGAAGAGCACGCAGGCACAGCAAUAAGAGCGGCGGUGUCUGCUCUUCUUCUGCAGCAUGGCUUACAAGCCGGUGCACACAUUUGUGACGUUAUUGAGAUGGCAAAAUUAAAGAAAGAAGCAAAAGUUUUGUUUCGGGGCCUUAACAAGGAGUGUAGACUCGCUCCCAGAUAUAAGAGGAGUUAAAUAUAAUAAGGAGCAGUGAGUGAGGAAAGCUCACGGCAAGGAAAAAAGUAAAAAUGGGUGACUAUUGUUGUAUUGAAAUCAUAACUAAUAAUGCUCUUACAUCACUCUUUAGCGUCAUCCACUGACACUAAAGACCACAAGCAACAGGAAGUGACUGCACCUUUCAGACACCUGGAAACCAAUGAACAGCCACAACCUGUGGGAGAGAACUCUUCUACAGCCAAUCACAGUCCAUCUGGGAGCGACUGCAAUCACUCAGAUAAUUACAGUAUAUCUAAAUUAUAAAUUCAGAGAGAUUGCCAACACACUGCAAUCAGUUUGAGUCGGUCUGUGCAAUGGCAGCUCAUCUCUUUGCAAUAGGAAUGCAAGUUUCUGGUUGGACACUGAAGUAGUUAAUGUGAAUUUCUGCUUAAUGGGAUUAUCUAUGUAUGUAGACAUCAGAUUUUCAAUUUUGAAUGAUGUAUUAAGAGUAAAACUGCUGUAUUAUCACAAACAGAUUGCAUGCUAUUAUCAACUUGACCCCAUUCAAACACAAACUGAUCGCAGACUCCAUCUUUUAUCAUCUUCCUGAUGCAUCCAAGUUACUUUGAGGAGGACAACUGAGUGAUCACAGACCUGGUCCCUGUCUUUGAAGCAAUCAUUUCAAAUGCAACGAGACUACAAGUCCAUUGUUUCCCUAGUGCUUAAUAUCCAAUCUGCCCACAUUGGAUCUUUGGGUUCUCGAGUUGUUCCUAUUCCAGGGAUGAAAAAAUGACUAUGUUUUGUAAAAUCCACUCUUUGUCCUUUGUGACAUACAAAGUUAUAGAAUUAGUGACACAGAGCUACAAUCAUUAUUCUCAAACGGGCGAGUUGCUGUUCUGAAAGGGUGUAUUUUAACUCACCCUAUGAUCUUUUACGAGAGUGAACCAGUGCGUGAUCUCCUGGUUUAUAAAACUGCCAGUUUUGCCACAGGUCUCUAGAGCGGGACCUUUAUCUGAAAUAUUCAAGACACCAAAGACAAAAGAUGGUUUGAGCCAGUGGCAUUACCCAGAGGAUAUGGUUCUAAUUGUAAAGUUACUCUGGGACAAAUUAAGUUAAAGAUGUGAAAAGUGCAUGAAAACAGCGCUGUAGGUCAGAACAAAUAAAAACAUAAGAGGUACGGAUCGGAGUAGAAGCACUUUACAGGAAGUGAAAGUUUGAAGAAAAAGUUUCCAGCUUUUUGCUGCAUCUUUUUUUAAAUAUAUAUUUUUUUGUUUUUCACGUCCUUUGAUCAAUAAGCAGAAGACAGAGAAGUAAAGCUUUCUCAUCCCUCUGUACUCAUUCCUGUGCUCCGUCUGCCUGUGGCUGAAGGAGAGAUGAAUCAGUGAACAGAGGGAGGUUCCACCGCUCGCUCUCGCUCUCUGAAGCCAACAGCAUUGCUGUGAUCACUGUUAAUCUCCUUUGCCACUCUGCUGCCAUCUCCUCAAAUACAUUCAUCUCAUUUCCAAUAGCGUUCGCAGCCUCUUCUUCCUUUCUAAUUAGGCACCGUCAAGAUUUCAGAAGUCACCCUUUGGUGUUCUGCAGUAAGCGAGAUGGCUCUUUGAGCGAGGGGGUCAGCCAUGGCAAGUAUUUGUUUGAGGGUUAAAUCACAGCAGGCCUUUCAUCAUGUUGUUAUGUUGCACGAUCAGAGGCUUGGGAUUAUGUAGGUCAGACGUUGGAGAGUGAGAGCACCCCUUUUGUAGCUGCCAUUUUUAUUCAGUUGCUAGGCAGCACCCGCUCUAAUCUCUUGUACCAAAGAGUCUCUCCCCAGAGAAAAAGAGAGGGAGCAGGAGUUACAAAGGACGGGAAAAAAUGUGAAAAAAGCAUCAACAAAGAACACAAACCCAUGCAAGGACUGCUUUUAGAAACACUUUAAAGGGAGGGAGUGGAAAUGGACAGGAUGUGGGAGUCUAAGCUCGGCCCUGAAACCUGCUAUGGCCCUCCUGAACAUCUUUAAACCCCUGUGGACUGUUUGUGCCAUUGACUCGCUAACUAAAGGAUCAACAACAGCGGGCUACAUUCAGCAUUUGAAUCUGUGGCACUCUUGCUUAAUGCCGGGAAGCGAAAACUUAACAGCCUUCAGUUCUCAAGUCUAGCUUUUCAAAACAAGUGGAACAGCUCCAGUGGGUCAGUCAAAGCAGGACAGUUGAUGAAAGUCACAAUGUUGACACAGAUUUUCUGUCAGCGAGUGCCAAAAUGGAUCAGAACCGCUCAGAUGUGGAGCUCGGUCGUCUGGCAAAGUGUGUCUGCUGUCGCGCUGCUGCUGCUGCACCCCCAUCCUAAAUGUGCUCAUGUCACGCUCCGCCAUCAAAGGCUCACCCCUCGGCUCUGUGUUCUGAGAAAAGGAGGCACACCACCCCCACCCCCACCCACUGAUCCUCCCCUCCCACCCCAGCCCCGGGCUCAGUAAGGAUCUGCUAUUCUCCGUUGCAUUUCACACGCUUUGAUUUGGAGUUUUGAAGUUUGUUCUUGUCUGCCUUUUUUCCUCUCUAUUUUUUUUUUUUUUUGACUUAGUUCUGUUUCAUAUUGACUGUUUUGAUUCAUGAAGUUUUCAGAUGAUGAAUGCUCUGAAAAACUGGCACUGCAGCACUGAUGGCUCUAAUGCUGUCUGUAAUCACAUACGCCUGCUCUCAGUCAGUGAGCCUUUGCAAUGACAAAGAAGGCCAAUAAACUGUAUGCAAGACAAUGAGUUAGUCUGAUCUCAAACAUUUACAUCCUUGCAGGGAGUGAGAUGAGAGGACUGAUAGGCUACCUCUACAGAUUUAGCAUAAAGUCUGAAAAGUUACUUAUUUGCAAAGUUGCAAGUCUGCUGUUUUUGUUGUCUACAUUUUCAUUCUACAGUGUAUUGACUCUCUUGGCAGAACUGAGAUGAGCACUAGUACCAUCGUCAUAUCUGUAUUCAAACAAUAAGCUGUUAGCUAGUAGCUUAGCAAAAGUCCUUGAGGCGCCCCUCAUUUCUCUAGAUUUUGCCAGGAAAAUGGGAAAUGGGUCCAGAGAUUUAUUGAAAUGUGCAAAUACACAAAGAAAUACAAUAUGUAUAAAUAUGUUCAUCAUAAUCUUAACUAAGUGCAAGUUCUUGUAAUUUCUUUAAAUAUUACAAGAAUGCAUUGUCAUGCUUAAAAAUAAAGCUGCUACCAAUCAGACACUUUCCAGGUGGUUUUCUGAGUUCAUCAAUUUUGACGAGAUCCCCAAAACAACUGGCUGAAAUGCAGCUCAAACCAUCAGAAGCCUCCACUGUGUUUUAUAAAUGGCUACAGACACUCACUGUUGUACUUGACCUCCUCCAUACAUAGUGACAACAAACUGAACUCAAAUUUUAAGUUUGGAUUAAUCGCUCCAUCAGACCUGUUGUCACUGAUUUUCAGUCCAGUUCUUGUGUAAUUUGGUAUGCAUCAGUCUUUUCUCCAUGUUUCCCUUCCUCAAGAAUAACUUCUUGACAGCCAACUUUCCACUGAGACCAUUUCUGAUUAGGCUUCAGUGAAUCAACUGAAGGGCCAGAUGCAUCUCUCAGGUUCUGUGUCAGGUCUUUUCUGGAUUUUUUUCUAUUUCCUUAAGACAUGACUUCCAGAUACUGUUUAUCUGGUGUAAAUAGUUUUUCAGGCCUGCCCCUUCUUCUUCUUUUGUCCUCCAUUUGUUCAGUUUCAUCAUUUUUUUAAGGAUAGGACAAGUUUUCCACUAAUAGCUCAAGGGGGAAUCCCCUUAUUGGCAUCAUCUGCCUGUUAAACUGUGUUAUCUAUGGCAUCUUUCAUACAUUCAACAACAAAGAAUCAUGAGUAUAGUAAUACAAUUUUAAAUUAGCUAAGUUGUCUGUGAUCUGUUGACUCAACACUGCUUCAUAGCUCAAAUUAGUUUCCUUUUUAUAUUGACUCAUGAAUGACUGACUCAUAGGUCAGCGUUAAGCAAACAUAAAAAUCGUCAUUUGAAAAUACUCAGGUAAAAGGAGUGGACUGAAAACUGGUGAGAAAGCAUCCAGUGCCCAAAGAAAAAAGCCUGAAGAAUUAUUGAUCAAGAGCAUUUUAAAAAACUACAAGUCUGGCUGCUUAGAAGCAAAAUAUACAGAAAUGAGGGGUGGCCCGAGACUUUUGCACAUCACUUUAGUUGGCUGUGGAAACGGAGUGAGGCAACGGUCUGUGAUGAUCUUGGCGGCUGGUGAGGAUUUGGCAUGCAGACCAAGGGCUACAGCAGCAGCACCACAUGCGGCCUUUUCCCUCAGGAUAAUAACUGCCUGUGGAGGAGAGAGGGAGAAAACCUGCAAGGAUCAGCCUUCCUGUUCACACCCCAUCAUCCAUGAGCUGGCAGGAUCCUUGUGUUGUUAUGGUCAUGAGACAUUUCCUGUGUGUGUUUUGGGGUUGCAUCUGGGCUUGUUUACAGCCUAUGCUAGAGCCUCAUUAAGUGGAACAUGGUACUAGGCGGAUGUGGCGGAGGGGGGCUCAAGUGCCUAUUAGUGGGGCCAGUCUGUAGCCCCAAACCAGAACCCAACUGGGCCAGGUGCUUCAGCCGGGUUUCCAAAAUACAGCCAAACAUGGCGAAGGAAAGCUUACUCAUUAGGAAAGUGUGCAAUUAAUUAAAAAACCCAGAUGUAUCAUCCACGGAGGCCUCAGAUGCAGAAUUAAAUAAUGCUGGUGA